GUGGGUGUAGCUCAGUUGGUUAGAGCACUGGAUUGUGGUUCCAGAUGUCGCCGGUUCGAACCCGGUCAUCCACCC
rnacentral:tRNA from 1 species